rnacentral:rRNA from 1 species
CGUGUAGGCGGUCAGGUUAGUGGGACGUGAAAUGCCCCGGCUCACCCGGGGACCUGCGUCCCAAACUGCCUGGCUCGAGUAUGGGAGAGGAUGUGGGAAUUCCUGGUGUAGCGGUGAAAUGCGUAGAUAUCAGGAGGAACACCGGUGGCGAAGGCGCACAUCUGGCCCAAUACUGACGCUGAGGCGCGAAAGCUAGGGAGCAAACG